rnacentral:rRNA from 1 species
AGAGUUUGAUCCUGGCUCAGAAUCAACGCUGGCGGCGCGCUUAACACAUGCAAGUCGCACGAGAAAGGGAGCAAUCCUGAGUAAAGUGGCGUACGGGUGAGUAACACGUGGAUCAUCUACCUUUUAGUGGGGAAUACCUCCGGGAAACUGGAGACAAUACCGCAUAAGCUCGUGAGAGGAAAGCAGCAAUGCGCUGAAAGAGGAGUCCGCGGCUGAUUAGCUAGUUGGCGGGGUAACGGCCCACCAAGGCGAAGAUCGGUAGCCGGCCUGAGAGGGCACACGGCCACACUGGCACUGAAACACGGGCCAGACUCCUACGGGAGGCAGCAGUGGGGAAUCUUGCACAAUGGGGGAAACCCUGAUGCAGCGACGCCGCGUGAGCGAUGAAGCCCUUCGGGGUGUAAAGCUCUUUCGACGGGAACGAUAAUGACGGUACCCGAAGAAGAAGCUGCGGCUAACUACGUGCCAGCAGCCGCGGUAAUACGUAGGCAGCAAGCGUUGUUCGGAAUUACUGGGCGUAAAGAGUGUGUAGGCGGUGUUCUAAGUCUGUUGUGAAAUCUCCCGGCUCAACUGGGAGGGUGCGGCGGAGACUGGAAUGCUAGAGUAUGGGAGAGGUAAGCGGAAUUCCUGGUGUAGCGGUGAAAUGCGUAGAUAUCAGGAGGAACACCUGUGGUGUAGACAGCUUACUGGACCAUGACUGACGCUGAGACACGAAAGCGUGGGUAGCAAACAGGAUUAGAUACCCUGGUAGUCCACGCCCUAAACGAUGCAUACUUGGUGUGAGCCAUUCAUUUGGUUCGUGCCGGAGCUAACGCGUUAAGUAUGCCGCCUGGGGAGUACGGUCGCAAGGCUGAAACUCAAAGGAAUUGACGGGGGCCCGCACAAGCGGUGGAGCAUGGUGGUUCAAUUCGACGCA